rnacentral:ncRNA from 1 species
GAAAGUUUAAACUUUACUUAAGUUUUUGAUAUAAGUUUUAAAUUACAUGUAAAUUUUAGUAAGAUACUAAUAUUUUUUUUGAAAGGGGAUAUUGAUAUUAAGUUCGCAGUAAUUAGUAUUAUAAAUAAAGUAAUUUUUGAUUUAGAAAUAUUUUUAAUAUUAAUAAAAUUUGUGCCAGCAAUUGCGGUUAAACAAAUAAUGUAAUUAAAAAUUUUUAGUAAUAAUUAAUUUAUGUUGAGUAUUAAAUAAUGAUUAAAUUUUUAGGUGAAAUUUAAAUUUAGUAAGAGAAUUGGUAAUAAAAAUGAAGUUAUGAAAUUUAAUUUAAAAACUAGGAUUAGAUACCCUAUUAUUAAAAAUGUAAUUUUUGUUCUAAGUUAGUAUAAGUUAAGGUCUUUAAAAUUAAAGGUUUUGGCGGUAUUUUAUCUUUUUAGAGGAACCUGCCCUGUAAUUGAUAAUCCACGAUGUAUUUUACUUUUAUUAAAUUUAUAUAUCGUUGUAGAAGAAUAUUUUUUAAGAAGAUUAAUAUUUUGAAUUUUUAUAAUAAAAAAAAUCAGAUCAAGAUGUAAUUAUAUAAAAGAAGAGGUGGGUUACAAUAAUUAUAUUUAAAAUGGAUAAUUAAUUGAAAAUUGGUUUGAAAGUGGAUUUAAAAGUAAUUUUAAAUAUUUUUUUAGAAUGAUAAAAGUUCUAAAAUAUGUACAUAUUGCCCGUCGCUUUCAUUAUAAAAUGAAAUAAGUCGUAACAUAGUAGAGGUACUGGAAAGUGUUUCUGGAAAAUCC